rnacentral:rRNA from 1 species
GAUGAACGCUGGCGGCGUGCCUAAUACAUGCAAGUCGAGCGAACAGACGAGGAGCUUGCUCCUCUGACGUUAGCGGCGGACGGGUGAGUAACACGUGGAUAACCUACCUAUAAGACUGGGAUAACUUCGGGAAACCGGAGCUAAUACCGGAUAAUAUAUUGAACCGCAUGGUUCAAUAGUGAAAGACGGUUUUGCUGUCACUUAUAGAUGGAUCCGCGCCGCAUUAGCUAGUUGGUAAGGUAACGGCUUACCAAGGCGACGAUACGUAGCCGACCUGAGAGGGUGAUCGGCCACACUGGAACUGAGACACGGUCCAGACUCCUACGGGAGGCAGUAGUAGGGAAUCUUCCGCAAUGGGCGAAAGCCUGACGGAGCAACGCCGCGUGAGUGAUGAAGGUCUUCGGAUCGUAAAACUCUGUUAUUAGGGAAGAACAAAUGUGUAAGUAACUAUGCACGUCUUGACGGUACCUAAUCAGAAAGCCACGGCUAACUACGUG